rnacentral:rRNA from 1 species
CACGUAGGAGGCGAGCGUUGUCCGGAAUCAUUGGGCGUAAAGGGUGCGUAGGCGGCGUGGUAAGUCAGAUGUGAAAUCCCGGGGCUCAACCCCGGAACUGCAUCCGAUACUGCCAUGCUCGAGUGAUGGAGAGGUAGCUGGAAUUCUUGGUGUAGCAGUGAAAUGCGUUGAGAUCAAGAGGAACACUCGUUGCGAAAGCGAGCGACUGGAAAUGUACUGACGCUGAGGCUCGAAGGCCAGGGUAGCGAAAGGG